AGUGAACGCUGGCGGUAGGCCUAACACAUGCAAGUCGAACGGCAGCACAGUAAGAGCUUGCUCUUACGGGUGGCGAGUGGCGGACGGGUGAGGAAUACAUCGGUAUCUACUUUUUCGUGGGGGAUAACGUAGGGAAACUUACGCUAAUACCGCAUACGACCUACGGGUGAAAGCAGGGGAUCUUCGGACCUUGCGCGAUUGAAUGAGCCGAUGUCGGAUUAGCUAGUUGGCGGGGUAAAGGCCCACCACGGCGACGAUCCGUAGCUGGUCUGAGAGGAUGAUCAGCCACACUGGAACUGAGACACGGUCCAGACUCCCACGGGAGGCAGCAGUGGGGAAUAUUGGGCAAUGGGCGCAAGCCUGAUCCAGCCAUACCGCGUGGGUGAAGAAGGCCUUCGGGUUGUAAAGCCCUUUUGUUGGGAAAGAAAAGCAGCAGGUUAAUACCCCGCUGUUCUGACGGUACCCAAAGAAUAAGCACCGGCUAACUUCGUG
rnacentral:rRNA from 1 species